AAGAUUUUAAGUUAAAAAAACUUAAAACCUUCAAAGUUUUAAAUAAAUAUUAAAAUUUAUAAUUAUUUAAAUCUUA
rnacentral:tRNA from 1 species